GGUGCUGUGGCAAAGUGGGUUAAAGCCCCAGUCUGCAGUACUGGCAUCCCAUAUGGGCACUGGUUCAAGUCCCAGCUCCU
rnacentral:tRNA from 1 species